rnacentral:rRNA from 1 species
UAACCUGGUUGAUCCUGCCAGUAGUCAUAUGCUUGCUUCAAGGAUUAAGCAAUGCAAGUGUCGAGUAAAUAACUGCACAGUUGAUCUGCGUGCAGCUCAUUACACCAGUCGUAAUCUACCUGCAUGAAUGACUCUGUCAUCGAGUGGAUAACUUCAGUAACUCCGAAGCUAAUACAUGGACGAGAAAUCGAGUAGCCAUUCAGCACAAGGAGUAACAUCCGAGUGUGGCUUCACGAUGCUUUUGGUCGUAAUAGAAACUGGUCAAUCAGAUUGAAUCUAUUGUGGCAUCAGACCAUUCUGUACAAGGAAACCGUAGCUUGCUACAUUCCGUGUGCGGUUGAGCGACUGACCUAUCAGCUUGUUUGCAAUGUAUUGGACUGCAGAGGCUUUGACGGGUAACGGAGAAUCAGGGUUCGAUUCUGGAGAGGGAGCCUGAGAAACGGCUGCCAUGUCUAAGGACAGCAGCAGGCGCGCAAAUUGCCCAAUACUAGCAUGAGCGAGGCAGCGACGAGAAGUAUUUACCUUGUGCUACAUUGUAUCACGAGGAUAGAAAUGGGUGAUAUCCAAAACCAUCACUGAGGAUCGAUUGGAGGGCAAGUCUGGUGCCAGCAGCCGCGGUAAUUCCAGCUCCAAUAGCGUAUACUAAUGCUGUUGCUGUUAAAAAGCUCGUAGUUUGAUAAGGAUUGAUUCUGGUUCAGAUUCAGUGCUUCGCAGCUUUGCUGCAGGUAUUCGAUGAGAUCCGCUUGGAAUUGGUUCUGCAAUGAGUGACUCGUACGGAGGAAGAGCUCUUCAUUGAGCUUGGAAUCGCUUUCGCAGCCAACAUCUGCACAAGUACAGUCGUUCGUGAUACCGUGAACAAAACAGCGUGCUCAAAGCAAGUGAUUCUGCUCGAAUGUUCAAGCAUGGAAUAUCAAGGAAUCGACCGUGAGUCUAAUCUUUGCUGGGUUUCUGUAUGCUCUUGGAGAAUUGGACCUGAGAAUAUCGUGCCGAGAGGUGAAAUUCUUUAGACCGUGCCAAGACAAACGUAAGCGAAGGCAUUCUGCAAGUAUAUCUUCACUAAUCAAGAACGAGAGUGCAGGGAUCGAAGAUGAUCAGAUACCGUCGUAGUCUGCUACUGUAAACGAUGCGAACUCGGGAUCAGCCGUCGCCAAUCUUUUCGAUUACCAGGCUGGAACCUACUUACUUCUCCUAGCGCGAAAGCUUUAAGUUUAUGCGUUCAGGGGGGAGUACAGUUGCAAGGCUGAAACUUAAAGGAAUUGACGGAAUGACACCACAAGGCGUGGAUGCUGCGGCUUAAUUUGACUCAACACGGGGAAUCUCACCAGGUCAGGGCGCAUGUUGGAUUGACAGAUUGAAAGCUCUUUCUUGAUUAUGUGUAUGGUGGUGCAUGGCCGCUCCUGGUUGGUGGAGUGAUUUGUCUGGUUGAUUCCGUUAACGAACGAGAUCUUGGCCCUUCAAUGACAGUUUGAUCGUAUCUGUAAUCCAGUCGACGUGCUUGCAUGCUUGUACUGGAUGAGAUCUUGUCUUGUACUCAAGGGGACGAUGCAUGUUGACAAUGCAAGGAAGUGCGAGCCAAUAGCAGGUCUGUGAUGCUCCUAGAUGUCCUGGGCUGCACGUGGCAUACAAUGGUGAAGAAAACGAGUUUGGUUUGUUUGAGCUCCUUGUGCGAAAUCAUUGGGGAAUCUGUGGAAACUUCAUCGUAUUGGGGAUCGUUGCUUGCAAUUAUUUGCCUUGAACCAGGAAUGCCUUGUAGACACAACUCAGCAAAUUGUAUCGAAUACGUCCCUGCCGUUUGUACACACCGCCCGUCGUUGCAAUCGAUCGGUUCAAUGCUAGAGGUCUUCCAGAGGUGAGUUCGAUCCUGUAUUGUCUUUGCCAAAGUUGAUCAAUAGCAUUGAACUAGAGAAUGCAAAAGUCGUAACAAGGUUGCUGUAGGUGAACCUGCAGAAGGAUCAA